CGAGGAGGAGGAGGAUGAGGAGGAGGUGGUCCCCUUGGACUUGGCGGACAUGCUGCGGGGCCGAGGCCGGGGCGGCGGAGGGCGAGGCAGGAGGAUGUGUUUCGGUCCAACAUUGAGUCCCAGCUUCUCCCGCCCACCCUGGGCCUUUCUCCCAGUUUGGGGACCCGUACAGAUCUCCCUGGGGACCAGGAAGCAUCAUCUUAUGUUCGGAUGACAUGAUGCCGCCCCGGGUCCGAGUCCCCUCCCUUGCCCUAAGGGGACGUGGACGGGCCCCCGGGCCCUGGGGCUGCGGAGCAGG